UGGGGAAUUUUGGACAAUGGGCGCAAGCCUGAUCCAGCCAUGCCGCGUGCAGGAUGAAGGCCUUCGGGUUGUAAACUGCUUUUGUACGGAACGAAAAGACUCCUUCUAAUAAAGGGGGUCCAUGACGGUACCGUAAGAAUAAGCACCGGCUAACUACGUGCCAGCAGCCGCGGUAAUACGUAGGGUGCGAGCGUUAAUCGGAAUUACUGGGCGUAAAGCGUGCGCAGGCGGUUUUGUAAGUCUGAUGUGAAAUCCCCGGGCUCAACCUGGGAAUUGCAUUGGAGACUGCAAGGCUAGAGUCUGGCAGAGGGGGGUAGAAUUCCACGUGUAGCAGUGAAAUGCGUAGAUAUGUGGAGGAACACCGAUGGCGAAGGCAAUCCCCUGGACCUGUACUGACGCUCAUGCACGAAAGCGUGAGGAGCAAACA
rnacentral:rRNA from 1 species